rnacentral:lncRNA from 1 species
CACAAGGGAUCAGUAGUCCUGUGAUUCUUUGGUUCAGGAAAACUUGCCACCUCAUUGAAAAUUAUGACUUAAAAAUACUGUAGGCAACCUUGCCAAGGGGAUGUAGUUUUUUCUGUUACUUGACCCUCAUCUUGGUGGGUCUCAACUCUAACUAAGACUAGCAUGGAUGAUUCUAGUUUGAAAAUAUCACAGUUAUAACAAGGCCUAUAUAUAUAUUUACAUUUUAUGUCUCUACACGCAGCUGCUACUGAAUUUUCCUGGGAGAAUAUACUAGAAGGGCUAAGAUCAAUGUACCAGUUUAUUGAUAGCAGUUCUUAAAAUCUUAACAUUUAUAGUUCUUGAGGAAAGAAAGUGGUUUAAUGCAUAAUAGGAUUCCCUAAUGCAUAAGCAGGAUCAAAAUCAGCUACUUCUACCUUGUUAAGAAAUCAGAAUUUCACUUGAGAGUGAAACUUACUUCAAAUGUAAAAUAAUAAUAAUGCUAUCAUCAUUCAUUUCUUUUUCCUGAAAUUUGUGACUGUAAAUACGUGACUUUAUUACGUUUUCAGAGAAAGUUCUUUUGAGUGACAGUUUUGUUUGUUGAUAUUGUAUAUCUUCAUUUGACAAACCAAGUUGCUAAGCCCAUAUUAAUGGGUUAAAAUUGAUUUUUUAAUUACAUCUGGAAUGCAAGAGUAAAUUAAGAAUUUAUUAAAUUAAAUGGGUUAUUUUAUUCAAAUGCUUCCAGAGUGAUUAUCAUAAUACCUAAGUAAUCAGAUUCAAUCUAAAUAAAUUAAUUCAAUAAAAUACUAGCCUAAUUUGUGGCUUAAUGGAAGCAUUUCAUUAAUACUGUCAGGAACAAGGAGAAAAGUUUCAAGGCUUUUUAAAGAGGUAAAUGGAGCCAGUGCAUUGUGGCUGGUAGUGGCAUUUACCAAGUUAAGGAAGCUAUGAGGCCGAUUAGAAAAGGAGUGAUGAUAGCACUUCCUAUUUUACUGAGAAUUUUAAGGGUCCCCAUAAGCAGGUACUCAUUUUCCAUCUUUUAUAUUUCUAAAAGCACUCUAUAACUUCUCUCUAUUUUCCAUUUUUCAACCUGUGAGAAAGAAAUAAUAUUUUUUAACCAAGGCUGAUCCUUCUGUUUGUGCUUUAAUCGUACUCGUUGUUUGAUCUUCUCU